UGGGGAAUAUUGGACAAUGGGCGCAAGCCUGAUCCAGCCAUGCCGCGUGAGUGAAGAAGGUCUUCGGAUUGUAAAGCUCUUUUGGCGGGGAAGAUGAUGACUGUACCCGCAGAAUAAGCUCCGGCUAACUUCGUGCCAGCAGCCGCGGUAAUACGAAGGGAGCUAGCGUUGUUCGGAAUCACUGGGCGUAAAGCGCGCGCAGGCGGCUUUUCAAGUUAGAAGUGAAAGCCUGGGGCUCAACCCCAGAACUGCUUUUAAGACUGAGAGGCUAGAGUGUGGGAGAGGAUAGCGGAAUUCCGUGUGUAGAGGUGAAAUUCGUAGAUAUACGGAGGAACACCAAUGGCGAAGGCAGCUAUCUGGAACACAACUGACGCUGAGGCGCGAAAGUGUGGGGAUCAAA
rnacentral:rRNA from 1 species